rnacentral:lncRNA from 1 species
UUCAUGUAUAUUUUUGGUGCUCGUGUAUUAUAUAGAUCGAGAGGUUGUGAAAUCUGCAAAAAGUGGGAGUAAUGGAGAGGAGUUAGAGAUUCUUCCGACACUUCCCUUCUUAAUUCGCGCGGCUGCCCAUUUUCAUAUGUAUUUUUGGUUCUCGUGUGUUGUAUAGAUCGAGAGGCUGUGGAAUCUGCAAAAGUGGAGAACAUAUUUCAGAGACCUCCUUUUACCGAUUCAAUUUUUUUGGAGAAAUUAUUGUAGGUUUAGUAGAGAGAACGUGUGGAAGAGGGGAGCGAGAUAAAAGUGACAAUACACAAUCUUUUAAAUGUACCUAAAAUUUGGGAAGAAAAACUGUAAAAAAACUGCCAC